rnacentral:tRNA from 1 species
GGAGGGGUACCCAAGUGGCCAAAGGGAGCAGACUGUAAAUCUGCCGGCUCUCGCCUUCGUUGGUUCGAAUCCAACCCCCUCCA